UGCACUGUUAUCACAUCUCCCUACUCCACU
rnacentral:piRNA from 1 species